UCUUCCGUAGGAGUAACCUGCGGAGGGAUCAUUACAGAGUUAUCCAACUCCCAAACCCAUGUGAACUUAUCUCUUUGUUGCCUCGGCGCAAGCUACCCGGGACCUCGCGCCCCGGGCGGCCCGCCGGCGGACAAACCAAAACUCUUGUUAUCUUAGUUGAUUAUCUGAGUGUCUUAUUUAAUAAGUCAAAACUUUCAACAACGGAUCUCUUGGUUCUGGCAUCGAUGAAGAACGCAGCGAAAUGCGAUAAGUAAUGUGAAUUGCAGAAUUCAGUGAAUCAUCGAAUCUUUGAACGCACAUUGCGCCCAUUAGUAUUCUAGUGGGCAUGCCUGUUCGAGCGUCAUUUCAACCCCUAAGCACAGCUUAUUGUUGGGAACCUACGGCUUCGUAGUUCCUCAAAGACAUUGGCGGAGUGGCAGUGGUCCUCUGAGCGUAGUAAUCUUUUAUCUCGCUUCUGUUAGGUGCUGCCCCCCCGGCCGUAAAACCCCCAAUUUUUUCUGGUUGACCUCGGAUCAGGUAGGAAUACCCGCUGAACUUAAGCAUAUCAUAAAACGAGGAAGGA
rnacentral:rRNA from 1 species